UCAAGCGAUCGAUUGCGUUAGUUUAGUAUUCGAGUUCACUUGUCUAACAUAUAUAUUGCCUUUCACACACAAGCUACAGUGCGAACCAUUUCUGCACCUGUCAGGAUAGGAAAAAACGUUGAGAAGAGGUACACGUUUUUUCUUCCUGGACCCAAAUAGAGCGGGCUUCCUGUGCUCUAAGAAGCCUCUUGCCAAAAUGGCGGACAGCGAAGAUUAAGAAACUCUGUCGAUGGCACUUUUGCAGACGUGGAAGUUGCUUGACGUCGACUUGAUGCAUKGCAUCUUUUAUGAAGCCCUUUAUCAAGAACGAGCUUUAUAUAUGUAAAAGGAAUUGACUAAAUGGACAUGAAGAUUUUAUCGAGUCAUAGAGAAUCUGAUAGACAAUAUCUAAGCGAAUUUUGUAAACUAUGUUAUAACAUCGUAACAGUUAUAGUUAUCUACGAUUGACAAAGUUAACUUGUCCUGAAAUUAAGUUUUCUAGGAAUAAUUGUACGAUCGAGGGGUUCAGAUUUUAUUUCGGUUGUAGGUAGAGUACAAGAUGAUAUGGUUCUAUAUUGCCAAAUUGUAUACAAAAUAAACUGAUUCAUUAACACACUGUCGAAACGUUAAAACUAAAAACUAUAUCUGAAACCCAAGAAAUAAUAUGUAGAUAUUUGUUGCGAUACAUUAUCCUUUCUAGUUCGACUUCGCAUGUCAUUAAAUAGGUUAAUUUUACUGUUCGUUAUUGUCAAUUAUUGAAUAACCAAUUUGAAUAAAGCAAGCGAUUUACUACGUGGAUGCUCUCUAUCGUGGCGUAGUACUUACCGGAUUUGUCUUGGCUAGUACGUUUUCUACUACAUAUGCACUGUGUUUGUAAAAGCGGAAAAUCUAUAUUCAAUCUUGUAAAAAGGUUCAUGAUGUCCCCUUGUUUAUUGUAGGUGAAUAGCAGGAAGAGUUCUCCUAAACAAAGAGAUUAAUUAACUGGUAAUACAAGUGCUUUGU